AGAGUUCUAUAGCCCUUGUGAGCAUUAAUCCUUUACUUAGGCUCUUGGUUGCUUUCCUCCCAGUUUGAAGUUGCAUGACAGUGUGAUGCAACUAAGAAAAGAAAAGCUAAUGCCAUUCUAGGCUGCAUCAACAGUAGCAGAGUGUCCAGAUCAAAGGAAGUAAUAGCAAUAGUACAAUUCUAUUCUGCCUUGCUCAGACCCCACUUGGAGGACUGCAUCCAGCACACAGCUGGAAUGUGUUCAGAGGAGGGCAACCAAGAUAACCAACCCUUAUGAGGAACGGUUGAGGGAGUUGGGUAUGUAUAGCCUGAAGAAGAGAAGACUAAGAGAAGAUACGAUGAUGUUGUUGUUGUUGAUUAGUUGUUUAGUCGUGUCCGACUCUUCGUGACUCCAUGGACCAGAGCACGCCAGGCACUCCUAUCUUCCACUGCCUCCCGCAGUUUCGUCAAACUCAUGUUCGUAGCUUCAAGAACACUGUCCAACCAUCUUGUCCUCUGUCGUCCCCUUCUCCUUGUGCCCUCCAUCUUUCCCAACAUCAGGGUCUUUUCCAGGGAGUCUUCUCUUCUCAUGAGGUGGCCAAAGUAUUGGAGCCUCAGCUUCAGUAUCUGUCCUUCCAGUGAGCACUCAGGGCUGAUUUCCUUCAGAAUGGAUAGGUUUGAUCUUCUUGCAGUCCAUGGGACUCUCAAGAGUCUCCUCCAGCAGCAUAAUUCAAAAGCAUCAAUUCUUUGGCGAUCAGCCUUCUUUAUGGUCCAGCUUUCACUUCCUCACAUCACUACUGGGAAAACCAUAGCUUUAACUAUACGGACCUUUGUUGGCAAGGUGAUGUCUCUGCUUUUUAAGAUGCUGUCUAGGUUUAGCUAAAGGGCUGGCGCAUAGAGCCAACUUGUUUUCCACUGCUCCAGAGCAUAGGACCCAGAACAACAGGUUCAAAUAGCAAGAAAGGUGAUUCCUAUGAAACAUUAGGAAGAACUGUAAGAGCUGUUCGGCAGUGGGAUGGACUACCUUGGAAGCUGAUAGACUCUCCUUCAUUUGAGGUUUUUUAGCAGAGGUUGGAGGGCAACCUGACAUGGAUGCUUUAGUUGAGAUUUCUGCAUUGCAGGGAGUUAGACUAGAUGACCCCCAAGGUCCCUUCAAACUCUAAAGGUCUAGGCUUCUGUUAUUGUCUCUGGCUCAGUAGUGGAUUGCAUGGUGGGUCAGCACUGCUCACCUGACUAGCCGAGUUGCUGCUGUGGAAUAGGAAGGAAAGGUGAAGAUACAAGAUGAUGGGGAGGUCUCAUGUGUGUGGGGGGGGGGCUACCUCUGUUCUCACACAGAUUAAAUGGAAUUACCCUCCUGGUUCAUUCUGAGCAAACGAAGGACAGUCAAAUAAAUGGGAAUACUCUAGGAUAUUGGUGUAAUGCUGUCCUGAAAAUCUACCCUUUCAAGAAGUGCUGCACCACAUGUUGCACCACCUGAAGCUAUCAAAGAGAGAGGAAAUGUAUGUCUCUUAAUAUUCAAAAUAGGGUGAGUUUUCCAAUUUCACAGUUCAAGUUUCUGAAUGAGAAAUUAUGACGAGCAAUUCAAACUCCCAUUUUGGAAGUGCAUCUUUUAUCUCAAAGAAAACUUUUUUUGUCAUCAUGUGAUUAUUUUAAUUCAAGCAUGCUGUGAAAUCUCAUGAGCUAUCAACUGGGAAAUGACAAUGGCUAAAUACUGCAGCAUGUUGUUUUCUAGAAGCUACUGUAUUGGGGGGGGGGUACCACCGCAUGUUGCCAACUAGAUAGUAUUAGCCACUGUUCAAAACUUCUUCAUGUAUUUCAUCAAAUAUAGCAGGGAUGAGUUACCUUUUUCAGUCAAAGGUCCAUUGCGUUCCAUUGUGGAAACUUGGGGGGCCACCUGCCACUAGUGGGUGGGGGUCAGAGGCAAAAGUGGGAGGAGCAAUGGAUGUGACUUGUAUCUUUGGACAUUUCAGCCCUGCAGAAAUAAAUAUAUUUCUAUAUAAGUACAAGUGUAAGGAGGUCAUCACACUGCAGUUCUUGUGGCUGCCAGUAGAUGGCCAUAGCAACUCCAGUGUCACAUAAAGCAGCCAGGCACGUGAGUAAGCAAGCAGCUGCUCAGUCAACCUCUUUAAUGGAGCAGGGAAGGCACUUCACUGAACAGUUUGAUAAACUGCUCUGCAAAAUGCCUCCACUCCUCCAUUAAACAUGGCUGCAGCAAGGUUUAACAGAAGAGGGAAGGUGCUUCAUAAAAAUGCUGUCUGAAGCUUCUUUAAAGGAGGUUGUGUAAGCUUUGAAGGGAGGGACCUAGUGUGCUCCGACACUGCCUCUGACAGUGGAGGAAAAACAUAGCCAUCAUUUAUUCACCAUGAAUGUGUCCAAUUAUAUUUUCAAGCCAUCCAAGUAGGUGGUCAUCAUUGUGGGGGUGAAUUCCAUAGUUUAACUAUGUGCUAUGUGGUGUGGGAUGCAGUGCAAUUAUCUGCAUUUCUGUGUAUGUAUACACAAGUUCGUUUUUGGUGUGUCCACAUAGCUCAAUAACCAAUUUCAAACUGGCAAUGUUGCCCCCAGAUUCUAAAAGGAUUGUACUUUCCAGAUCUUAUUCAAUAGGUGACCGUAAGACUACAUGGACAGUGGGUAAUGGCUUUAAAUAAUGGAUCUGCUGCAGAGAUAUUGAAUCAUCUGUCUCCAGAUCCCACCAUCUGCCGAUAUCUUCUUGAUUGUUUUCAUUCUUCCAUAUAAUUUGUUCUUGGAUUAGGCUGGUGUUAUGUCUAGAUUCUGGCACUCCCAACUUCAGUUAUUUUUACACUUGCCUUUUGCUUUUGUACUUCAGAUAGCACAGAUGUUCGCUUUCUUUACCUCCCAAAUUAGGAACUCUCUUCCCUCAAAAGCAUGGCUGGCACCAAUGUACCACUAAUAAAUGCUCACACAAUGGCUGGCAACGAAGCAGCCUAUCUGGGUGAGCAAUGUGACUUUGGAGUCGUGAGCUCACGCAAUACUGCAGCUCUUCUUUCACAAAAAAUCACGGUCUUCACAUUUGCAGAUUUCAAAUUUGCAGCUGCGAUUCCAUGGUACUGACAUUGUAUUUCAAAGCAGAGUUGACAUUCACAUCAGGAGCCGGAGCCUACUUUCAGAUCAUUAUUAAGUAAAACUCCACAGUGCUCUUUGAAAAUACUUUUUAUAAAUAAUAACGGCACCUGCUUCUUCAUGUACCUCUUCUGACUGCAAUAGGUGUCAGCCGAGCGGCAAACAAAUCUUCACCAUUCAUUGAUGCUAAUAGCAUUGAGCACACAUUUCUAAUUCCGUUACAGAUGUUUUGCUGACAGAGAAAGAUGACUCACCAUUUCUGGAGCAGGGUAGAGACAGGCAUGCCAUCUCAUCAAAGGCAAUAAUCAAUUUUCUCCCAAAUCUGCUCUGCAUUGAAUGAUGCCAUAAUAAAUUAAUCGGGAACAAACCAGGCCAACGGUAGGGUUGACGAAUAAAAUGUGUCACACAGACAGGGGAAGCUUAUAAAUCAAUUCAGCUGUGGCACAAAGGUCAGGCAAUGAGGCACUAAUAAAGCAUGCCUGAUAGCUAGCAAAGAAAUUACUUUGACUUCUUUUUCUCCCCCUUUUCCUUGAUGCGGCAUUUUCAUUAUGUUGAAUCAAACCAUCCCAUUAUUGGUUAGCUGCUGCGCCUUCGCAUGGGCAAGAAAGAUCUGUCCACUGUCUCCAGUUUCCAUUACUGUCCUUAUUAUAUGGAGGGAAACUGUUGGAAGCCACAAUUGGGAGCCUCUUUGGAAGCUACAACUGGGUCAGAAGGCAACAGUAAGCCAGUGUAGCACUAGGGGGCAGAGUGUUGACCUAGGACCUGUGAGACAAGAUGUCAAAUCACCACACAACCAUCAAGGUCACCGGGUGACCUUGGACCAGUCACCAAGUCUGUGUGCACAACAAGGCUUUGAAGCAUACACACACCCCUCUAAAAAAACCCCAAAAGGUUCUUGGAAACUUUAGUAUGUUAAGGGUGCUGUGAACUAUAUUUCUGUGAGGAGUAAACAGUGGUUCACAGAAUUCUUCCUCCCGCAAGCUACUGUUGGUAUAUUGGAAGCUUCCUUCCAUCGUUGGGCAAUAACUAUUCUGUGAACCACCGUGAGACCUCCAGGUAUAGGACAGUAUAUAAAUUCAAUUAACAACAACAAGAAGAAGAAGCCUAGCUGCUGUGAACAAGAAGGAAAUUAAUUCUUUAAAUUUGAGAUUAGAAUUUGCAGUUAGAUCUAAGGAUAACAAGGCAAGUGGCGAAUUAGGAAAAAUUAGACUGUAUUGUGAUUUUGGAGGCCAGACGAAACACUUUUUUCCCAACCCAAAAGCCAUUAACCAAAGUACAUUUCCACCAAGUAUGAAAAUAAGAGCAUUGUUCUCCACAGCCUUUCCAGAGAAGUGGUGAGCUUGAAGAAAUAAUUAUUGCAAGGUGUGUGGGCUAUUUCAGUUUCCCGUCUUGUUCCGAUAACUUUUGUGUUGCCAACAAAGCUGUUUGGUAUCCUGCCAUACAUUGUUGACACUGCCCCUUUCAUGUCAUAGCUAGGUCUACUAUGUAGCGAUUCGAAAAGGGUCUCAAGCCCUCACCUGUGUGUACCAAAUGCUUUUGCGAAAGUGCCCAGUUGGUAAAGUUGUAGCCAAUACAAUCCCAGAAUUCCUGUUCCACACUGUGAUGUGAUGUAUUACAUUUUUUAAUUUUAUUUUGGUCAAUUAUAGUAUUUCUAAAUUUACAUUUAUACAUGUAAAUUAGCACAGAGAGAUUUUAUGGAAGGUGAUGUUCUUUUUUGUUGUUUUCGUGUGCACAAGAAGAAGAGAAAAAGCUGAAGUAAAUCUGGUUGCCGUAGGCAGUGGUGAGAAUCAGAUCAAUGACCUUCUCAAGCAUACCUUGAUCUCUCAGCCACAAUGCUAUACCUGCAUGAACGCACACACGCACUCUCACACACAUAUUUCCCUCGUUUCCCGGAUCAUUUUUUUCCUGAUUUGCUGCAAGAAAACAUUGCAGUGAAGAAGAAGAAGCAGGAAAAAAGAGGGAGACUUUAAACAGGAGCAUUACUCAGAGGGCAGAAGAAACCUCCCUCAAUAACACCAGCUGGAAAAAGUGAUUUGCUAAAGAUUGCCGCCCAAAUAGCUACAUUCAUUAGCUGUCACAGUGUAUCCCAGAUCAGGCUAUUAACCAUUCCAGCUUUGACAUUUUUAUGUCUCAAGCCCUAGAUUUUUUCCAUCAAAUGUCUUUAUUAAAUCAGAUUAAUCUCCUGGUGAAAUUACUCCUUCUUCUUAAAGAGAGCACAAAGAGCAAAAUAGCUUUUGAUCGCAGAAUCAUAGAGUUGGUAGGUUCGUCAAAGGCCAUACAAUCCAACCCUUUGGCAAUGCAGCGUUCCUGAUAAGAUCCAUCCUUUUACUUAAAAUCAUUGAAUGAAGGCGAAGCUACCCUCUACUGCUGCAGUCUGCUCCACUUUGUGACGUGUUGUCAGGAAGUUCUUCUACAUAUUUAGUCAAAAUCCUUGUCCUGAGCUCAGCAGGGCUGUUGGGGUUGGGCUGGCAUAGGAACAGCAAGAAGCAGAGAGGUGAGCUGAAUUGGAGGGUGCCAAAUUCACUGCAUUUUUUUUAAAAAAAAUAUAUUUUAGUUUAUAAUUUUUAUUUUAUUUUGCAACACAAACACAUACACUCAUAAAACUGAACAUAAAAAUGAAAACAGAAGAACAGAAAGAAACACAAACGUGAAAAGAAAAAAAACAAUGUCAAAGUAAAAUACAAAGGCUUCUACAAAAACAAAUAGUGAACAAUGUAUGUAUACCAUGUUUCAAUUCUUCUUUUCUUCCAAUUGAAUUUCUUCAUCCUC
rnacentral:lncRNA from 1 species